UUAAUUCUCUCUCAUGUCCCUGAAUCUACGCUCCCCUAACUUCUCUCUUUGUCGGUUACCUAUUUUUCGCCAAUUUACAGCGGUUGUCUCUCCCCUAACUUCUCCCACGUUCGUCUGCCACUGUGUAUAAAACUAUCACCUGACAUCCUCUCCAAUCCAUUAUACACCAUCCUCUCGAAUUCUCUGCUCCUCUCUCACCAAGAAAACCCAAAUCAACAAUCGAAUUUUCUCUGGCCGUCUCUCCUCCAACCAAAUCCAAAUCAACAAUCAAUUGUUGAUUUGCAUCUCUAACCCAAAAGGCAUAGAAGCAUCUAAUUGUUUACACCCAAAUUGGAAAAAUUAGGGUUCGCUUUGUUAAAUGUGAAGUGAGUCGUCGGCCACUCAUGUCCACCGCCACCAUCGCUACCACUGAAGUGAGUCGCUGACCAACUGCCACCACUCUCCUAUGGAUGCCUAACAUCCAUCGCCACCAUCGUUGUUGGGGUUUGUGUUGAAGUCGACGAUUCUUGCGUCAUUGGAUCAGGAAGAAUGAACAAGGACGACGGGCGGUGUUGGUGAAGAUGUAGGAUGACGGGUGACACUGGUGUUCUUCCCAUAAAAAAACACAAUCUCGGUUCCGGUGAACGUAGGGUUCCUCCAUGACCUCAUACAAAGGUGGUGAUGGAGUCUGAGUAACCAGCAACGAUGGUUAAAGGAUUCAAGUGGGUGAAGACGAUCCAACAUGUUUUCUGGCGAGUCUCCUGUAAGUUUCUUGUGUUUUUCAUGUCUCUAUUUUAACCCAUCGGUGUUAGUGAAGGAAUUUAAGCGGCAAAGACAAGAAGCUAGAGUUCCGGCCAAGUACGGCAAGGUUCCGGUGACCUGAUUCAGUUAUGGCGAUAAAGCUGACCGGCUCAACAUUUUGCAAAAACCGCUACGGUUUCGGGUGCGUUUAAUUCCAAUAUUGAUUUUGCUUUUCCUUUGGAUGGUGAUGGUCAUGAAAGGGACCUAUGGACUUCGUUGACUUCUGCUGAACCAAGAAGAGAAGUAGAACAAGAAUGGUUUUUGGAGAGCCAGUGAUAAGGUAUAGGGGUGGCAUUGAUGGUUUUGAAGCUACUGCUGUUGAAUCUGAUCAGAAACUUGAUGUCACUAGUGAUUCGGUUGCGUCAUACUCUCAACACCUUGAAACGAGGAAUGAUUUUGGGGGUUCUUGGAGAUAUAGCCGGAUGUCAUGGAACCGAAUUUGGGGGUUCUUGGUGGUAUAUUGGGCUUCCAUGGAAAAGAAGGCGUGUAUUAGGAAGCCUACUCAUUUGAAGGCAUUCACUGUCAAUUAGGUGAAAGAGGAAGUUGAAUCAACAAUAUAAAAACAUAUAGCUUCCAUGAACUGGUGGAAUGACAAUUUCUUCACUUCAGAUCAAUUAUCUUGAUUGUUGUGUGCUUCUAUAGCAUAUACUUUUACUCGGACUAUAUGAUGGCCUUGUGGUGUUAAUUGUGGUACAUGGUGUGUGCAGCCGAUCCAAGACACUGUGGAUACUUGACAUAUUAAGUGUCUAAGAUAAUACAACUUUUAUUACUCUAUUGAGUCAAUGUUGUUAAGCGAUUUUGGUGCAAUUAUUUUAGUAUGAAAUCUUGAUUAGUGGCAAAUUGGGAUUAACGGUUUUUCUUAUAAGACUGCAUAAUUUUGUUGGGAUUCUAGGUGUUGUUAGUUUACAAUCAAUGUUUGUGGAAUUAUUUAUUAUCGGGUUAACAGUUUACAUUCUCCCAGCACAUGUAUUCAACUUAUAUUUGAACGCUUAUGGAUUUUGUUGUAGGGGUUAAUCGAACUCUUCAGUUCGAUUUCGCGGGAUGCUACAAGACAUGCUGAGUAAUGAAUUCAAUGUUGGUGCUUACAAGAUACUGGUUGAGAAAGAAUAGUUGGAGUUCUGUGGUGGUGAUCACAAGUUAUUUCCCGGUGGGACGGUAUUCUUAUUAAAUGCCUUCACUUGAUUAUAUUUGCUUGAAAGUUUGACACUAACUAUCUAACAUGAUAGAGGUGGAGAUUGGUAAAAUGGGGAAUGAUCUUAUAGAGGAUGGAGGCUGGUUUUGGGGCUGGAUUGCUGGUAUCCUUUGUUAAUGGUAUGAGGGGCUUUAAUGUAAUUUUGGCUGGUGUCAACUUUGCCAUCUUUAGUGGUUUAACUUGGCGCUUAUAAAUGUCGAUUCCUGCUUGCCUUAAAGUCCAUGUGAAGACUGAUAACCAGGGACGAACCUGUAUGCAUAAUGUCUAUCAAGUGACACUGGUAGAAAAGUUUGUGUUGUAUAGUUUCUGUUAUAUGACUUUUAUGGUUUGUCAUUGAAAUCGACACAUGUCUUACAUCGACGUGAAGGAUGUUUAAUUAACUGGCCCAAGGAAUAGAGUAACAUAAGAGGCAAGUGGUAACAAACACUCUUAUGUAUAUUGAUUAGACUAAGAUUUGGUUUUUUGUUUAUGUAGGAAAUAAUUUCUUAUUUCUUUAGAUGAAUCGCUUUCGGUUAUAUCUUGAAGUAUGUUGGGUUUUUAUUGCACUACCUCUAUCUUGAAGUAAGUUACGGUGUGUGUGGAAAGUCAUUGCAUCUGUGUAUAAAGAACUGCUGAAAUAUGGUACUCAUAUCGAAGACAAGCUGGUUUGUUCGGUUGGGACUGGGUCUUCGGCCUCUUUUUGGUAUGAGGUGUGGGCUACAAAAGAUUCGGGAAU
rnacentral:lncRNA from 1 species